GAGGGGGAGGGGGGGGAGGGGGAGGAGGAACAGAAGGGGUAACAAAGUACAGAGAAGAGAUAAAAGAAAAAUAGAAAGAUAGGAAUAGGAAAUGGGAGAAACUACACAUGCAGGAACCUGCACAGGUGGUGGUUGUAAUUGAACUGGCAGAGUGAAGGACAAGGCUGGUGUUUGUCAUUGGGCCAACAAUCAGAACUGCAUCAAAGUUUCAAAGCUAAGCACAGUUCCUGAGUCAGGGUGGAGGUCACACAAACACCCCCAUGGACUGAGCGCCACCCCCACCGAGCCCCACUCCUACAAGCCACGCCCACCCAGGUCGGGUCACAGGCUUUGCGCCAUAUUCCCACACACUGCAAGCUCUUCAGGCAGUUGCCCUCAGUGAGUGCCUCGAGUUUCUGCCUGUGUCCACUGUGCCUCCACCCCUGGUCUGGGGCUGCUGGCACGGUCCCCUCUCAGGACUCCGCAGUGCGGUGUGGCCGCCACUCCGCCAGGCUCCCAGCUCCGUGCACAGUAAGUGAUUGCAGCUGUCAAGACUUCACAUGAAGAAACAUCUCCUCAUAUGAAAUCUACAAUAGACAAGGAAGGAGGAAGAUAAAGAGGAAGAAGAGAAAAAAGACAGAGAAAGAAGUGGGGAAAUCCCCAUUCUUAGUGAGCCCAUCCCAAGAAGCCAUAAGGAAGCACCUCCUGGAAGACUGGGUAUAAAUGGUCCCCAAGACAGUGGAAGCUGCCAGCUGCAGUCUCCUGCUAACCAGGUUUGUGGAUGGGACCAACAGCAGAAAAGCACUAACUGAGCUCCAUUAAAAAGGUUAAAAAAAAAAACUAGUAUAGCCACAGGCCCUUGGGAAUAUAACUAAAAUAUGCCUACUAGCUAUCCACAAAACAGAGACCACCCCCCCAACUCUUCAUCUGUACUAUUCCAGCCUUUAGGUUCAUGAUUGAUCAACAUUUUGUUUGGCUUUAUAUGUUAACUCUCUUUUCAGCCACCAGGUUCCAGAUGCUAGCAUGAUGCCCACCAGACUGACCUGGACAGACAACCCCACCAAUGUGUCCUGGAGCUCCGAUUCCCCAGAACCCUGCCCCACUAGGGAAAGAGAGAGGCAGGCUGGGAGUAUGGAUCAACCUGUCAAUGCCCAUGUUCAGCGGGGAAGCAAUUACAGAAGUCUGACCUUCCACCUUCUGCAUCCCACAGUGACCUUGGGUCCAUACUCCCAGAGGGUUAAAGAAUAGGAAAGCCAUCAAGGGAGGGGAUGGGAUACAGAGUUCUGGGUUUUGUCAGUGUUUCCAUUUUAUAAACACAUUUUUUAAAAAGGUUGAAAAAGAAAAAUCAGUGCCAAGCAGUGGUGCCUCUGUUGAGUGCACACAUUUUUAUGAGCAAGGACGCAGGUUCUAGCCUACUAUCAGCCUACAUGCAGGGUGGGAGCUUUGUGAACAGUGAAGCAGUGUUGGAGGUAUCUCUCUCCCUGCCCCUCUCUCUCUCUUUGUAAAAUUGCAUUUGUUUUAUUACAUAGAAUAGUGUUGGAGAGUGGGCCCACUAACUGGGAAGUCCAGGCCAUUGUUUCCAUGAGAAUCUGAGCAGGUAGACCCCCGGCCCUACCCCCACCCCAGGUCGAGAAAAGGAUAGGUCCCCCUGACCUCUGGAAUUUAUGAUGGUUGGACCCCCGGACAUAGGCGGCUUUCUACACAUGCCACUCCUCCUCCCUUUUUAAAAAAAAAGCCAUGAAUUAUAUGUAUAGCUAACUUGAAAACCCUGUACAUCCCCAUUGCUCAGCUGCCUCCCCCCACUGCCCUGAAAUGCCUGCAAUUUACCUCCAUAAAAAUAUACAUUGUGAAGCUUGUGAUCAAACCCUGUAUGGUAACAUUUUACUUGUGAUAAAAUAGUUUGCAAGUCAAUAUGUGACUAUACAUUGUGUUGCUCUGUGUUUGGGUUAGUGAUUACCUCAACCUUCCCCCCUAGCUAUGGGCUUGCCUUUUUCCCUCAAUAAAGAGAUGAUCCCCUGAGGCUCUCCCAGAGCUGA